UUUUUAAGAAUAACCCUACCCCAUCUGGAUAUGUCCUCCCACGAUGGAUGAAAAUAAACUUUCCUUUCCCUUCGGGGAAACAGGUGACAGAUGGUGCAUGGUAGUCGUCAUCUUGAGUAGUGAGAGGUAGGGUUACGUCCAGCGCCAACCCCAACCCUUUUUGUUAGCAGGUCAAAUUGGGCACUUUAGGGAGACUGCCCUUGAUAAACCGGAGGAAGGUGGGGAUGACGUCAAAUCAUCAUGCCCCUUAUGUUCUGGGCUACCCACGUUGUACAAUGGGGGAUACAAAGGGGAAGCAAGCCGGCGACCAAAGCAAAUCCAUAAAAUCCAUCUCAGUUCGGAUUGCAGUCUGCAACUCGCCUACAUGAAGUCUGGAAUCGCUAGUAAUCGCGAAUCAGCAAGUACGGUUUCUCC
rnacentral:rRNA from 1 species